rnacentral:rRNA from 1 species
UACAGAGGGGGCAAGCGUUAUUCGGAAUUAUUGGGCGUAAAGGGCGCGUAGGCGGCCAUUCAAGUGACGGGUGAAAGCCCUCGGCUUAACCGAGGAACUGCCUGUCAGACUGGAUGGCUUGAGACCGGGAGAGGUGAGUGGAAUUCCCAGUGUAGCGGUGAAAUGCGUAGAUAUUGGGAGGAACACCGGUGGCGAAGGCGGCCACCUGGGCCGGAACUGACGCUGAGGCGCGAAAGCGUGGGGAGCAAACAGG